rnacentral:rRNA from 1 species
GACGAACGCUGGCGGCGUGCUUAACACAUGCAAGUCGAACGGAAAGGCCCUGCUUUUGUGGGGUGCUCGAGUGGCGAACGGGUGAGUAACACGUGAGUAACCUGCCCUUGACUUUGGGAUAACUUCAGGAAACUGGGGCUAAUACCGGAUAGGAGCUCCUGCUGCAUGGUGGGGGUUGGAAAGUUUCGGCGGUUGGGGAUGGACUCGCGGCUUAUCAGCUUGUUGGUGGGGUAGUGGCUUACCAAGGCUUUGACGGGUAGCCGGCCUGAGAGGGUGACCGGCCACAUUGGGACUGAGAUACGGCCCAGACUCCAACGGGAGGCAGCAGUGGAGAAUAUUACACAAUGGGCGGAAGCCUGAUGCGGCAACGCCGCGUGCGGGAUGACGGCCUUCGGGUUGUAAACCGCUUUCGCCUGUGACGAAGCGUGAGUGACGGUAAUGGGUAAAGAAGCACCGGCUAACUACGUG